CGGAGGGGCGAGCGUUAUUCGGAAUUAUUGGGCGUAAAGGGCGCGUAGGCGGCAUGGUAAGUCAAAGGUGAAAUCCCUCGGCUCAACUGAGGAAUUGCCUUUGAAACUGCCAAGCUUGAGGCCGGGAGGGGGUAGCGGAAUUCCCAGUGUAGCGGUGAAAUGCGUAGAUACUGGGAGGAACACCGGUGGCGAAGGCGGCUACCUGGACCGGAUCUGACGCUGAUGCGCGAAAGCGUGGGGAGCAAACAGGAUUAGAUACCCUGGUAGUCCACGCUGUAAACGAUGGGUGCUCGGUGUCGCGGGUAUCGACCCCUGCGGUGCCUUAGCUAACGCGUUAAGCACCCCGCCUGGGGAGUACGGUCGCAAGGCUG
rnacentral:rRNA from 1 species